AUUGAACGCUGGCGGCAGGCCUAACACAUGCAAGUCGAGCGGAUGAAGGGAGCUUGCUCCUGGAUUCCGCGGCGGACGGGUGAGUAAUGCCUAGGAAUCUGCCUGGUAGUGGGGGAUAACGUCCGGAAACGGGCGCUAAUACUGCAUACGUCCUGAGGGAGAAAGUGGGGGAUCUUCGGCCCUCACGCUCUCAGCUGAGCCUAGGUCGGAUUAGCUAGUUGGUGGGGUAAAGGCCUACCAAGGCGACGAUCCGUAACUGGUCUGAGAGGAUGAUCAGUCACACUGGAACUGAGACACGGUCCAGACUCCUACGGGAGGCAGCAGUGGGGAAUAUUGGACAAUGGGCGAAAGCCUGAUCCAGCCAUGCCGCGUGUGUGAAGAAGGUCUUCGGAUUGUAAAGCACUUUAAGUUGGGAGGAAGGGCAGUAAGUUAAUACCUUGCUGUUUUGACGUUACCAGCAGAAUAAGCACCGGCUAACUUCGUG
rnacentral:rRNA from 1 species